rnacentral:tRNA from 1 species
GAGGGUAUAGCUCAGUGGUAGAGCGCAUGCUUAGCAUGCACAAAGUCCUGGGCUCAAGCCCCAGUACCUCCA